UUAAGUUCAGCGGGUAGUCCUACCCGAUUUGAGGUCAGAUGUCGAAAACCAGGUUUCGGUGUUGUCCGCGGGGGACGGUUGGAAGCGGAACCCAACGUUGACCAAGGACUGCUCGACGGGUGAUCUUAUCACGCCAUAAGGUCCGAGGCCGGAGGGAGAUCCAGCUAAUGCAUUCAAGACGAGCCGAGCGCAGAGCGCCC
rnacentral:misc_RNA from 1 species